CGUGUCCAUACGAGUAAAGCGCAGCGCUUUGUUAAAUGAAAGUAUAUUCUGGGCUUUAGAUCGUGAAAGGGUAACGUACAAGUGAAGACAUGUGUUUCUUCUUUCUUCUACAUUCGACGGCUACAUGACGCUCGAGUUUCUUCGCGGUUACUGAAUCGGAUUUCUUUAUGGUUCUUGGGGUUUAAUCUCAUUAACUCUGACGCCCACAAUGAGCUAUUUAAUGUGUUGUUUGCGUCGGUGAAGCUCUGUCAUUUCGGGUAUAAAUAUGUUUGUAAUUCUCUUCUGGAUAUCAUCGUCUCCUCAUCUCUCUUCUCUAUACUAAUUCGCGGGUUGAUGGCUAACUCGACGGUGUUUUUCUCCGAUUUGAAGUUCGGCAAGUGUUCCACCGAGGAGGACGAUGUGCAGUGUAAGCCGCUCUUUAGGAUCUUACGGGUUAAAGUCAUAUACUGAGACAUCAAGGCCUCGAACAUCUUGCUGGACUUGUUUUCAGACUCUGUGUUAGAAAAAUACGGUCCCAUGAGAGAAACAAGCUAUUUUAGUACAGAAAUCAUGGGUACAUUCGACUAUGCGGCUCUUGACUAUGUGGCAACAGAUUUCAAGAAAGCGUUGGAUUGGCAAACAAUAUUUGGGAAAGAGACACAGCUAAGACACCGUUUUCAAAGCGAAGAUGCAAAUAUAUGAACAAAAGGAAAGCUUUUUAUUUCUCUUUUUUUACUGGAAAGACAAACUUUUGUGAUGCUGAUGAGUGUUUUUUUGUCUCAGAGAGUAGAGGAGGAGAAUUAAAAUUUCAGGUGGGAUCACAAGAACUCUAUACAGAACAAUGGAGAGACCCUCUGGAGGGAUGGGUUAUGUGUAAUGUGGCAAGAGAAGUCCAUGGUUGAUGCGGCAUGGGGUCUCAGAGAUGUGAAAUAGACUGGUGCUUUGUCAUAGUAGGAGGAAGUUCAUUGGUUGUCAUUUGGAGGAUGAAGCCAAGAUGAUAACUAUUUUGUGGGCAGUAGAAAGCAUGACCAGCCAAAGAGUAAAGAAUGCCAUAUUUGCAGGUGAAAUCAAGGAAUAUUUUCUUUUUCGAGCUAUACCUGAUGCUUGGCCUGCGUUGAGCUUUCAAGAUAUGGAGGUGAUGACUGCUCUCUCUGGUCUGGAUGACAAGGUUGGUUAGUGAAUACGGUGCACUAAAAUGCCAAUAGAGUAGCUUCUUUCAUAGUUCAUAGUUUAAUCAAUAUGGGUUUUGUUCCGUCGUAUAUAUGUAGCUAAAUUUAAUUAUAGUUAAUUAAAUUUAU